rnacentral:rRNA from 1 species
UACGGGGGGGGUAAGCGUUGUUCGGAAUUACUGGGCGUAAAGGGCGCGUAGGCGGCCAUCUAAGUCAGACGUGAAAUCCCCCGGCUUAACCUGGGAACUGCGUCUGAUACUGGACGGCUGGAGUUUGGGAGAGGGAUGUAGAAUUCCAGGUGUAGCGGUGAAAUGCGUAGAUAUCUGGAGGAAUACCGGUGGCGAAGGCGGCAUCCUGGACCAAUACUGACGCUGAGGCGCGAAAGCUAGGGGAGCAAACAGG